rnacentral:rRNA from 1 species
ACUCCUACGGGAGGCAGCAGUGGGGAAUAUUGCACAAUGGGGGAAACCCUGAUGCAGCGACGCCGCGUGAGUGAAGAAGUAUUUCGGUAUGUAAAGCUCUAUCAGCAGGGAAGAAGAAGGACGGUACCUGAGUAAGAAGCCCCGGCUAACUACGUGCCAGCAGCCGCGGUAAUACGUAGGGGGCAAGCGUUAUCCGGAUUUACUGGGUGUAAAGGGUGCGUAGGUGGCAGGGCAAGUCAGAUGUGAAAGCCCGGGGCUCAACCCCGGUACUGCAUUUGAAACUGUCCAGCUGGAGUGCAGGCGCG